GUUAGGAAUAUUGGACAAUGGGUGCAAGCCUGAUCCAGCCAUGCCGCGUGAACGAUGAAGGCCUUCGGGUUGUAAAGUUCUUUAGCCGAUGAUUAUAAUGACUGUAGUCGGAAAAUAAGCCCCGGCUAACUUCGUGCCAGCAGCCGCGGUAAUACGAAGGGGGCGAGCGUUAUUCGGAAUCACUGGGCGUAAAGCGUGCGUAGGCGGUUUUGUAAGUUAGGAGUGAAAGCCCAGGGCUCAACCUUGGAAUUGCUCUUAAAACUGCAAGGCUCGAAUCUCGGAGAGGAUAGCGGAAUUUCCAGUGUAGCAGUGAAAUGCGUAGAUAUUGGAAGGAACACCAGUGGCGUAAGCGGCUAUCUGGACGAGUAUUGACGCUGAGGCACGAAAGCGUGGGGAUCAAACAGGAUUAGAAACCCCUGUAGUCC
rnacentral:rRNA from 1 species